CCUACGGGAGGCAGCAGUGGGGAAUAUUGCACAAUGGGGGAAACCCUGAUGCAGCGACGCCGCGUGAGCGAAGAAGUAUUUCGGUAUGUAAAGCUCUAUCAGCAGGGAAGAUAAUGACGGUACCUGACUAAGAAGCCCCGGCUAACUACGUGCCAGCGGCCGCGGUAAUACGUAGGGGGCAAGCGUUAUCCGGAUUUACUGGGUGUAAAGGGUGCGUAGGUGGCAGGGCAAGUCAGAGUUGAAAGCCCGGGAGCAACCCCGGUGCUGCAUUUGAAACUGUCCAGCUGGAGUGCAGGAGAGGUAAGCGGAAUUCGCGGUGUAGCGGUGAAAUGCUUAGAGAUUGCGCAGAACCCCGAUUGCGAAGGCAGCGUACCGGCUCCACACUGACGCUGAGGCACGAAAGCGUGGGUAUCGAACAGGAUUAGAUACCCCUGUAGUC
rnacentral:rRNA from 1 species